UACGUAGGGGGCAAGCGUUGUCCGGAUUCAUUGGGCGUAAAGAGCGUGUAGGCGGCCUGGAAGGUCAGCUGUGAAAACUCGAGGCUCAACCUCGAGACGUCGGUUGAAACCACCUGGCUAGAGUCCGGAAGAGGAGAGUGGAAUUCCCGGUGUAGCGGUGAAAUGCGCAGAUAUCGGGAAGAACACCAGUGGCGAAGGCGGCGACCUGGACGGACACUGACGCUGAGACGCGAAAGCGUGGGGAGCAAACAGGG
rnacentral:rRNA from 1 species